CCUUCACAAUGUGCGAAAGCGCGAUGAGGGGAUCCCAAGUGCUUGCACUUAAGUGUAAGCUGUUUCUUUGUUUAAAAUGCAGAGAGAGGAAGGGCUGGGUAAGACGGGUGCCAGCCGCCGCGGUAAUACCUGCAGCUCAAGUGGUGACCGCUAUUAUUGGGCCUAAAACGUUCGUAGCCGGCUGAGUAAAUGCUUGGGUAAAUCGUGCCGCUUAACGGUACGAAUUCCGGGUAGACUGCUCAGCUUGAGACCGGGAGAAGCUAGAGGUACUCCUGGGGUAGAGGUGAAAUUCUGUAAUCCUGGGGGGACCACCAGUGGCGAAGGCGUCUAGCUAGAACGGGUCUGACGGUGAGGGACGAAACCCUGGGGCGCAAACCGGAUUAGAUACCCGGG
rnacentral:rRNA from 1 species